rnacentral:rRNA from 1 species
AUACGGAGGGGGCUAGCGUUGUUCGGAAUUACUGGGCGUAAAGCGCGCGUAGGCGGAUUGACAAGUUGGAGGUGAAAUCCCGGGGCUCAACCCCGGAACUGCCUUCAAAACUGUCAGUCUCGAGUUCGGAAGAGGUGAGUGGAAUUCCUAGUGUAGAGGUGAAAUUCGUAGAUAUUCGGAAGAACACCAGUGGCGAAGGCGACUCACUGGUCCGAUACUGACGCUGAGGUGCGAAAGCGUGGGGAGCAAACAGGAUUAGAAACCCCUGUAGUCC